rnacentral:rRNA from 1 species
UGAUCCUGGCUCAGAUUGAACGCUGGCGGCAUGCCUUACACAUGCAAGUCGAACGGCAGCACGGGUGCUUGCACCUGGUGGCGAGUGGCGAACGGGUGAGUAAUACAUCGGAACAUGUCCUGUAGUGGGGGAUAGCCCGGCGAAAGCCGGAUUAAUACCGCAUACGAUCUACGGAUGAAAGCGGGGGACCUUCGGGCCUCGCGCUAUAGGGUUGGCCGAUGGCUGAUUAGCUAGUUGGUGGGGUAAAGGCCUACCAAGGCGACGAUCAGUAGCUGGUCUGAGAGGACGACCAGCCACACUGGGACUGAGACACGGCCCAGACUCCUACGGGAGGCAGCAGUGGGGAAUUUUGGACAAUGGGCGAAAGCCUGAUCCAGCAAUGCCGCGUGUGUGAAGAAGGCCUUCGGGUUGUAAAGCACUUUUGUCCGGAAAGAAAUCCUUGGCUCUAAUACAGUCGGGGGAUGACGGUACCGAAG